rnacentral:rRNA from 1 species
CCUACGGGCGGCUGCAGUGGGGAAUAUUGGACAAUGGGGGGAACCCUGAUCCAGCCAUGCCGCGUGUGUGAAGAAGGCCCUCGGGUUGUAAAGCACUUUCAGUGAGGAAGAACGCCUGGUGGUUAAUACCCAUCAGGAAAGACAUCACUCACAGAAGAAGCACCGGCUAACACCGUGCCAGCAGCCGCGGUAAUACGGAGGGUGCGAGCGUUAAUCGGAAUUACUGGGCGUAAAGCGCGCGUAGGUGGCUUGAUAAGCCGGUUGUGAAAGCCCCGGGCUCAACCUGGGAACGGCAUCCGGAACUGUCAAGCUAGAGUGCAGGAGAGGAAGGUAGAAUUCCCGGUGUAGCGGUGAAAUGCGUAGAGAUCGGGAGGAAUACCAGUGGCGAAGGCGGCCUUCUGGACUGACACUGACACUGAGGUGCGAAAGCGUGGGUAGCAAACAGGAUUAGAUACCCCAGUAGUC